UUUGACAGAUGUGUGUGUGUGUGUGUUUCUGUGUGUAUUAUCUUAUGUAUAAUCAUUAUGCUAAAUACCAUAGUAUACACAAAGUUCAGUAAUAGUAGUGAAUUCAGGCAUCCGCUGGGGGGUUGAGAUCUGCCUCCUUUAGGUGGGGUUCCAAGUUUAUCUACCAUGUGCUGUGCAGACCUCUGGGGUACAGGUGGAAGGGAAAUCAGCAGAGUGUGCUGCCUCAUCAGAUGUGGUUAAAGUUCCAUUCACACGGUUGUUUAAAAGGACAGACUCACUGUGCAGACAGAGGUCCUUGUCUCUGAGUGAGGAGUUUGAGGAGAUCCUGCAGAGGACUUGCCCUGUGACUUUAGUGCCCUCAAGGACCAAGUGUCAUUUCUUCUAUGAACAUGCUUCCUGACACCUGCUCUGUUCUCGUGCUCCUCCUAAUGCUCAGAAGGAGCAAUGGAGACUCAGUGACCCAGACAGAAGGCCUGGUCACUCUCACAGAGGGGUCGCAUGUGAUGCUGACCUGCACCUAUCAGACUACUUACUCAGGUCCUACCCUGUUCUGUGAAAGUGUCUAAGCCUCCUCAAGCUCAGAGCACUGCUGUCUACCUCUCCUCCUCUUCAGCCUUUAUUUGCUUCCUGGGAAUCUCUCAGGAAGGACUGAACUGCUUCCUGCUCACCUUGGUGACCUUGCUGUGUACACAAAAGCUUGGAGAGCUCUGGGUGAAAGGACAGCAAGUGCAGCAGAGUCCUGUGUCCUUGGUUCUGCAGGAGGGAGAGAACUCAGAGCUGCAGUGCAAC
rnacentral:sRNA from 1 species